rnacentral:rRNA from 1 species
UGAGUAACACGUAUCCAACCUGCCGUCUACUCUUGACAGCCUUCUGAAAGGAAGAUUAAUACAAGAUGGCAUCAUGAGUCCGCAUGUUCACAUGAUUAAAGGUAUUCCGGUAGACGAUGGGGAUGCGUUCCAUUAGAUAGUAGGCGGGGUAACGGCCCACCUAGUCUUCGAUGGAUAGGGGUUCAGAGAGGAAGGUCCCCCACAUUGGAACUGAGACACGGUCCAA